AUUGAACGCUGGCGGCAGGCCUAACACAUGCAAGUCGAGCGGUAGAGAGAAGCUUGCUUCUCUUGAGAGCGGCGGACGGGUGAGUAAUGCCUAGGAAUCUGCCUGGUAGUGGGGGAUAACGUUCGGAAACGGACGCUAAUACCGCAUACGUCCUACGGGAGAAAGCAGGGGACCUUCGGGCCUUGCGCUAUCAGAUGAGCCUAGGUCGGAUUAGCUAGUUGGUGGGGUAAUGGCUCACCAAGGCGACGAUCCGUAACUGGUCUGAGAGGAUGAUCAGUCACACUGGAACUGAGACACAGUCCAGACUCCUACGGGAGGCAGCAGUGGGGAAUAUUGGACAAUGGGCGAAAGCCUGAUCCAGCCAUGCCGCGUGUGUGAAGAAGGUCUUCGGAUUGUAAAGCACUUUAAGUUGGGAGGAAGGGCAGUAAAUUAAUACUUUGCUGUUUUGACGUUACCGACAGAAUAAGCACCGGCUAACUCUGUG
rnacentral:rRNA from 1 species